rnacentral:lncRNA from 1 species
CAAGAUUCUCACCAUCUUCUCUUCAUUGCACCAAGCAAGAGAUGCUAGAAAGUGUUGUCACGCUUGGGACCUUCCCUGUUGGAGCGCUGGCAAACUUUUGUCACGCGUUGUGGUUUCCGUUAACCUGAGGGGAAGAAUCUUGGCAAAAUGACAGGAAAGAUGGGCCUUUCUGUGUAAAAGCCAGACGAAGUGGAUUGGACAUAAGCAGCAGCUAGCAGGUGCACGUGUCUCCC